UUGAACCCGGCCCAGGGAUGAAACCCGGGGGGGGGCCCAAAACAUUCAAAUCCAGGGGACAAAAUAGAAGCUUGCUUCUCUUGAGUUUAGCGCGGGCGGGGUGAGUAACCCGUGGGUACCCUCCUUAUAAGACUGGAUAACCUCCGGGAACCCGGGCUUAAUCCCGGAUAAUAUUUUGACCCGCAUGGUUCAAUAUUAAAAGACGGUUUCGGCUGUCAUUUAUAAAGGGACCCGCGCCGUAUAACCUAGUUGGUAAGGUAACGCCUUACCAAGCCGCCAAGCGGUACCCGACCUAAAAGGGUGAUCGCCCACCCGGGACUUGAACCCCGCCCCAGACCCCACCGGGAGCCACCAGUAGGAAACCUCCCCCAAUGACCAAAAGCCUAACGAACCACCCCCGCUUAAUUAAUGAAGUUUUUCGGAUCGUAAACCCCUGUUUUAGGGAAGACCAAAUUUGUUAGUAUCUGACCAAUCCUCGACG
rnacentral:rRNA from 1 species